GACGAACGCUGGCGGCGUGCUUAACACAUGCAAGUCGAACGGAAAGGCCUGCUUUCCCUUGUGGAUUUCGGGUACUCGAGUGGCGAACGGGUGAGUAACACGUGAGUGAUCUGCCCCCAACUUCGGUAUAAGCCUGGGAAACUGGGUCUAAUUCCCGACAGGACCGCAGGGUGGUGCCUGUGGUGGAAACCGCUUUUCUUGUGGUGGGGGAUGAGCGCGCGGCGUCUCAGCUUGUUGGUGGGGUAAUGGUCUCCCAAGGCGGCGACGGGUAGCCGGCCUGAGGGGGGGGGCGGGCACAUUGGGACUGAGACACGGCACAGACUCCGAGGGGAGGCAGGAGUGGGGAAUAUUGCAGAGGGGGGGGAAGCGUGGUGGAGCGACGCCGUGUGGGAGAUGACGGUCUGCGGUGUGUAACCUCCUUUCGGGCGGGGGGGGGCCUCCUGGUUGGAGGGGGGGUGACGGUAGUGGUAGAAGAAGCACCGGCUAACUACGUG
rnacentral:rRNA from 1 species